CGCCUGCCCAGUGAACAUUAAACGGCCGCGGUAUCCUAACCGUGCAAAGGUAGCAUAAUCAUUUGUCUACUAAUUAUAGACCUGUAUGAAAGGCAAAAUGAGAGUCUAACUGUCUCUUAUAACAAAUCAAUUAAACUGAUCUCCUAGUAAAAAAGCUAGAAUUUAACCAUAAGACCAGAAGACCCUGUGAAGCUUAAACUAAAAUAUUAAACCACAUAAUAAAUACUUUCGGUUGGGGCGACCUUGGAAAAAAACAAAACUUCCAAUAAUACGACCUCCCUCGUACUACCACACCCUAGGCCCACAAGCCAACUAAUGACCCAGCAAAGCUGAUAAUCGAACCAAGUUACUCCAGGGAUAACAGCGCAAUCCUCUUCAAGAGCCCAUAUCAAAAAGAGGGUUUACGACCUCGAUGUUGGAUCGAGACAUCCUAAUGGUGCAGACGCUAUUAAGGGUUCGUUUGUUCAACGAUUAA
rnacentral:rRNA from 1 species